CAUUCAAACAUACAAAAAAAAAAUCAAUCUGAUCGACUUGUACCUAUUCUUCAAAUUUUGUUGCUGUUUAAGAGUUUGAAUUGUUGCCUCCCAUAAGGCUGCUCUGAUUCAUGGCAACACUCAGGCAUUGUGUGCUUGGUAAAUCCCAGCAGAUAUUUCCACUCAGAUUUUGCAGCAACAGUUAAAACCCUGACUGACUCAGAAUAUAGAUUAGGGCACACACCAACCAGCUUCAUUUCAACGUGUUCCUCCUAUGGAGCAGCUCACUCAAGGCAUCUGUGAGGUUUAACAGUAAAACUAAAACGACCCCCCAAACCAGGAAUUAUGCAUGCAAUAUAUUUCCCACUGAGAUAAGCAAAUGGAAAUUGGCUGAGCCAGGCAUUUCAUCCAGCUCACAGCUGACAAGGGGUCAUUCCCUGCAGUGUAUUUAGCAAUGAUUUGUCCAGCCUAGUGUUGAUUAUCUAAAACAACACAGAACUGCCUCCAUUUCUCCAGGGAGAUUGUUUGCAGCCAAGCUCAUUGGCAAAAGGCUUCUCCUAACAUCUUGUUUUCCUCAGCCUUCAGCCACACCAAUUCCAAACCCAUUUCUGUGGGUUACCCCCAUGCAGCCAUUUUGUACUGAGCUACAUCUUGGCUUUCUUUAAUCAUCACUUAGUCAGACUUACAGCUUUAAUUCUUGUAAUCUUCUGCCAUUGCCCAAUUCUUUCCUCUCAGUCACAGCAGCUGUUCUUUUGUAGCCCCUCCAAUUUGGCUACUGCCUCCUGGUAUAGAUCUAGCCCAACAUGAACAAGUUUGGCUUCUCCCAGGAGAGGCAGAUCAAUACCUUCACAGCUGUGCUGGGUGGAGGAUUCCUUCCAGCUUCACAGAGCUCCUGCAGAACAAAGAUCCUGAGCAGUUCAGGGAAGAAGCAGCUGGAGCACUGACAGGGACUCUUCCACACCUGCAGGAAUACAAGAGCCAUCUCGGGUAUUGUGUCUCAGCCACCCCACAGAAAAUAUCCCACAGGGGAGAAGAGCCACAACAAAGCAGUGUCACCCCCAGUUACCAUUUUCCAUGGAUGAGAGGGGAGAAAAGGAAGGGAUGAUGUGCACUUUUUACUAAAGACAGAAGAAAGCCCUUGUCUCCUUACCAAGGGCCCCAAUAUCAGGAUCAGCUGUGCCAAUAACAAGCUGUGUUAUUACCUCUGCUGUACAAAGCAAUUUGGUUUUUAUUGACCACUCACUAUACAGGGCACUACAACACUCUCCCCUCAUUAGAGCCUGUCAGUCAGAAGGCAAAAGAAGGCAAAAGCAGAUUUAAGGAGAAGGCAGCUCUUUGCAGUCAUGAAGAUAACCUUGCUCGAGCAAAAGCAUUGACAGCAGGCAGGCAGGACUGCAAUGAGGAGCUGCAAAUGAUCAGGCAGCUGGGAAUGGCAGACAAUGGAAGAAAAACCUUGGUGCAGGUAGAACAAUUUACCUCCCCUGUACAGGAAAACACCUACAAAAUUACAUCCAAACGCAGAACAGCGAGGAAAGUUUUGUUAGCUGUGGUUUUGUUUCUUCUGCUCCCUCUGUAAGUCUGCCAGAUGACCUUUGCUUGCAAUAGACUUCAAAUACUGGGAGCUCUUCUUUGUGUCUCCUUGGAGAAAAUGGUCAGGAAUCAAUAUUUCCACUGAUCAUUUCAUUUGGUCUCCUUCUCAAGUGAGUGUUCCCACAAUUCAAUCCCACCUCAGCCACUCCACCUUUAACAUUUCACCUUUCCUUACUGGCUGAGUGCAGGCAACUCUGGGUUUGAGUCUCAGCUGCUGUGAGGGAAUGCCAAGGGGGAAUGUUUUAAGGCCAAACACAUAACAGACAGAAUAUGCAGAGGAUGUUCCGUUUGGAGAAAACUGCAUUCAAGAGAUUUAGGCCACUCCAGUGCAACAACCAGCAACCACCUGCAUCAGGAAAGUUUGUUCUAACCUAAAGUAAGGUACAGUAAGGAAAUCCAAAUUCCAAGUACUUUUUAUAAUUUAGCUCCCUGGGAAAACACCACCCACCCAGAGGCUUGAGGCAAUGCAGAACUGGCUGCUUGGGAGGUGCAGGGUGGAGAAGAGAGGCUAUUUCUGGCAUUACCCCUCAGUGGUAGGAUGAGAACCACAGGCUGAACUGUAAGAAACAUCUUGAAGCCUGGAAUUUCGUGCUGAAGGACAUAUGCUUUUGAGGGAUGGGGGAUUAUCAGGAAGAACACUUCACAGGAAUGCUGUGCCCUCCUCAUCCCUGCCAACCCAACCCGUUUGCAGAAUUGAAACGCAAGGUUAGAUCCCAGCACCUCAGGAAGAGCACAACUACAGAUGUCCCAAAUCACCAUCAGUCUAACUUCAAAUAGAUCAAGGACUUGCCCCUCUGAGAUAGCGUGGCCAGAAUUACUUUAAAAGUAACCUUCUAUCCUUAAUUUGUAUCUGGACACCAAGGUUCAGAGCAUCAGCUCCUCGUCUGCCCUCGCUGGCAAGCUGACAGCAGAGAACACACAGACCACAGGGCUGGGGAGCAGCAACAAGCCCAGAUGAUCCCGAAUUCCUGCCUGCCUGAGACUGCAGGAGACACAGGGCUGGGAGAAACAAUUUUGUUCAAGACCCAGUCCACAAACACUGCCUAAGUUCAGCUUACAAACCUAAAAGAGCAGCUGGGCACAUACAAGCACAGCUCCAGCACCUGGAGCUCAAGAAAAGGCACCUCAGUGAACCUCGCUGGGUCACUGACAGGAAAACUUUUCCCUUCAACAGAAGUUUCCCACCAGAGUUUUGUGAUUUGGCCCUGAAUCCAUGACGCAGAUGUUGAUGGCUGGAAACAGAAGCUGAGCAGAGGAAAAUGCAGACUUUGGGAACAAUGGGUCAGCUUGGCUGCUUGGGAGUUCAGAAGGAGAAAAUGAGAUGCAUUAAAAACUUCUUUCUGGUCAAUCUUUAUUUUACACAUUUGCAUCACAGCAGGGAAACCAAGUUACACAGACUGUCCUGACUUGUCUCUACCUUGCUUCUCUUCAAACGCUGUUUGCUGUUCUUUUAAUAAAGUUUAAAAAAAUACUGAAAAAAAUUCAUUUUUACAUCUGAACAGGAACUGAAGAAUAGGAUAUUUACAGGUCACCAAAACCCCAGGAACUGGACCUUGCUGUACACAGAAAAGUCUUUUUUAGUUCUUCUGGAGGUAAUUUACUGAAUGAAUUCAAAGCUACAUUGUACAAGGUGCCCUAAAGCUGCUUAAUGACACAAGAGGAUUUAGAAUUAAUUAUUAAUAGUUUCUAAAGGGCAAGGGAAGCUAUUUAGACCCAUACUCUGUUUUGACAGAGCAGGUACCAGCUCCACUGGCUGCAGGAUGAAGUGCUUCCGAUGAUGUCGAGGUCGGACUCUACUUUAGUACACAGAGAGCAGAACACUGAGUGAAAUCCCACAGGGAAAUAUUUAUUUAGAAUUGUCCUUUCUAGAGGAUUGCUGCAGUCAAAACAUAAAUGGGUUCUUGAGCCAGUCAGCCUAAAAGGAGUGACUCUAUUCUCAGCCACUUUCUUCCUACACCACUCAACACCCGAGUAUUGAUAUUUUCCUACAUCCUGUUCCAGCCACUUGGGAGCACAGAUCAUGUGCAGCUCUCACUGGAUCACUGCUAUAUCCAGGCAAGACACUACAAAGGGAAAUGCACAGCUUCCCAGUAUUGCCAAGGAAAAGUGAUUAAUCAGCCCAAAAGUAUUGUAUCCAGCAGCUACAAAAAAAAAAGAAGCCAAAUUAAUUCAAUUUAGAACAACGUUUUACAGCAUAUCAGCCCCAGGGAACACAAAGAAACAUUGGUCAAGUGUCUCUAGGCAGCACCACCUCAGCUUUCAUGAAACAUUGAGGCUACUGACACCACACACAAGGUCACAGUUUCAGUGUGAGUCCCACUAUGUUCAAACCUCACUGCACCUCCCACUCCUGCAGACCACAGCUCCUCACUCUUGGUACACAAGUGAAAAAUGGGGAUGUGCUCUAUAAGUGAAGCAGAGAUCACAACAGAGGAGCUAUAAAACAUCUUCUUUAAAGUGACAGCAAUCUGUUAGCUAGCAUGACAGGUCAAAUUGAAGGAGACAAACCAAGUAGGCUAAAGGAAGAAAGAUUUCCUUCCCUCUCCUUAAUGGCUAAAGAACUCCAGUUCCCAGAGCUCAAUAGAGCCUACAAUACCCAGUAUUUGCUUCAAAUUGGGCAGUUUUCAAACUAACAACAAAAUCACCUCCCUUCUCAUCAAUUUGAUUGUCAGUGGCUCAACUGCUUUUGUCUAAGAGGAACACAAAGUAAGGAAAAAAGACUUAACACAAAAAUCUUCUACAGGACUUGCACCAGAUGUGCACGCUGGAGUGAUCAGAACUUGGCCUUUCAUGGCCAGAAGGAAUGCUACAGUGCUCAAGGACACAUGGUGGAUGCACACUCAUGCCAGAGAGAGUCCACUCAGCUUAGAAAAAAUACAUCUUCCACAUUACGAGCUCCAGACAAAAUGCUGCAAUGCAGCAAAUUUUUACAACAUGCUCUCCCAGGGCAUGCCAGCAUGGCAAUGCAGGAGCAGGGCACUGAGCUGGAGGGAAACACUGAACAAUGCACUGCACACAUCACAACACGCCCAGUUAGACGGCAACAUGAAAGAGCAUCUGAACAGGACAGCAUGUGGCUUCUUCAACUCCAACUGCUCCACUCGGAGCAGGCAGCAGCACCGUUCCACAUGACCCCAUUAUGUCUUGCUUUCUUUUAGUAUGUCUCUUGAUGAACCAUCAAGGAAAACAUUUUCCAGCCCGAAGAAUGCAAGAGGCUGGCAGAUGCACUGCAAGGAGGCUUCCUCUGGAAGACAGCCUGCUGAGCAGCCACGGCAGGAAGGAGUGCAGCAGUGCCAUGUGCAUGUCAGCAUCCACAGGGAUUUACUGGGGCAUAACCUGCAUUACAAGUGAAGACUGAGCCAAUCUCAUUUUUGUCUGCAGAGGGGACCGAGCGCUCGGCUGCAGCAGCAUAUGGGAAAGCAUUCAAACUGUUUAUUACCAUUGCAGCAGACCUGCUGUUCCAGGACUCCUGUCACUGCUGCUGGGUACUGCUGGUGAUUGCUCCAGCUCCUCACUUCAGUAAAAGCAGCGACAGGGAAGCAAAGCUGCACACUCCUAAACGAUCUGUAAUCCGCAACAGCUCCUCUCUUCCCUCCCUGUGAGAGGCAGAGCUUCCUACCAGGUAAGCAGCCAUCGUGAAAGGCAAGCACUGAUUAUCCUGCCCGGGGAGCUCCAAGUGCUGCACUCCACUAGCCCUGGAGUCGUGCAGUGCCACUGAUGCAGCUGUGGGUUUGCCUGGGAAGGAGGGGAGGGAGUAGUCCUGUCUUUGAUGCUUUGCAGUGCAGCACUUGCUGUGCUGGAGAGAAGCACAACUGCAGCCAUCCCCUCCACUCUGCAACUUCCCAGCUGCCACCUAUCCAUCACAUCCAUCAAGACAGACUUUCGGUCCUGGUCCAAGGAAUUGCACCAGAGAAAAUUCAUUUUGGAAAUGGCCACAAUAAGAAUCUUUUGGGUUUUGACUUGUCCGUGACUGAUUUUCCUUCCUAAUGCUCAGGUCUGACCAUUUCCUGCUGCUUGGUAUCCUGUGUAGAACACCAGAAGCUGACUCUGGAGCUGACUGCUGAAGCUCAGGGCUGAACUUGGAAAAAGCUCUUGUAAAAAAAAUGGACUUCCAGAACACUGCUGUGGCUUUUCAUGCCAAGACAAAAAGAAAUGACCCAUUUUUUGGCCUUUGACUGGUGAGCCAGGAACUUGGCAGAUAAACCCACACCAUAUGCAACUUUAGAAAAAAAGUGCAUAUUAAAAAAAAAAAAAAGAAACCUGAGACUAAGGUAACAGCACUUGCCAAAUUGUCAGGUCCACUGAUGCUGAGGUAUGGAAUAAGCAGCUGUUUGGAAGCAGCUCAGCAUUCCCUGGGAUCACAGCACAGCCCUGGUGGUUCUGGGUGAAAUGCCACACCUCUGACAAUUUCACAUCUCAUUCACAAAAGGAUUAACAGGCUCUAGAAUAGCAUUGCCCAGAUGCACUUUGUUCCUGACAGCACAACCUUAUCCCUUACAUACCUCAGUGCCAACACACUUCAAGUCUUCAGUGGGCUUCUCUGAACAAACUUUACAGCCUGUCUGAGCAGCCCUUUGGAUGCAGGGAGUGACAAGGGACAGAGUAACUACAGAGGAUGAGUUUUCCUGGUAUUGCAUUUAAAUGUAAGAGCUGGGACUGCUUGUGUUUGUUUCUGGUCCAAUUUCUCACACUUCAGGUUAAAUAUGUAGAUUUCUUCCUCCAGAAGGCCCAAAAGUCACCAAACAGCCUUUUUAUGGUACAGGAUCUCUCCUCACUAAAACUGUCUCACUGCAAGGCAAUGACAGCAAAGCAGAAUCACUGCUGUGACUGCUGUGAAGUUACAGCUGAGGAGGAAAUCAGAAGAGGAUUCUGCAGCCAGAGACAAAUGCUCUUCUUCUUGUGCUUUAUGUGAAGAGAAAGCAGUUCCAGGUAUCAAACCAGGUAGAUUUGUUUCUACCACCUCCACGGGGCAUAGAGCCAACACCUGGGAAAAGAAGUGGCAAUGGGGGCAAGGGAUGCUGCUCCUCAAACAGCAAGGCUUGCUACAGACAGCUCACCAAGAGCUCCACAACCCCUGCUCAGGAGUGAGGAAGUGGUUCAAGAUUCUGGAGGAAAUCCUCCUUCUCAGCUUGAAUAAAAUAAAUUUUAGGUUAACAGUCCUUUAAUCAGGUGUGGCCAGAAAUGUAGUCCUUCCAAAAAACCAAUUCCUGAACGAGUCUGUAAGCGAUGCUGGCACAUCCAGAGCUCUGCUGAUGCCUCUCCCUGACAGAAGCAUUUGGCUCCACAGCACCACAUGUCAAUGUCUCUGCAUGAAUAUUAAGGCUUCAGUGGGUCAGUGACUUACAGCUGAUUUAUUUUUGUUAAAGCUAAUCCUCAUUCCACCAGUGAGCCACUUCCAUCCUCCCCCAAAUGAGCACCCAUUUUCACUACUACAGCUCUGGACACCAACUGCCCUACUGACAACCCCAGGGACUGCAGAGAAAAACAUAUGUGGCAUUUUGGAGUGUGUCUGUAAAGACUCCACUGCAAGUCUGCAGCUAACAGUCAAGGAUUCCAUAUUCCCCUGCAUCAAGGUUCUGGUCAUAAUCUUCUCCUCUCCUGACCAAAAGAAAAAAAAAAAAAAAAAAAAA